GCGGGUUCCGGGUUCUUGUUCUGACGGGUAGGUUCCAGGUUCCAAAAAAUGAAGAACCUGUACCCGAGGGUAGGUUCCAGGUUCCAAGCGGAACCUGUAAGGAACCGGGAACCGCUCACCCCUAAAGAGUAUGAUAAAUGCUGUACUAUUCAAUAACUAUAAAAGAAAAUUACAAGAAAUAUCUUUCAAGGAAAAUCAAUUAAGAAAGGAAAAAAAAAAAAAAAAAAGGAGCCACUGUAACAGCAAAUGGGCGUGCUUGAAAGUGAAAGGGCCAGUUCAGGCCCACAAUUAGGCAUGAGUUCUCUCUUUCUCUCUCCGUCGAGAACGUCGCCGCUUCUUCCACUUUCAGCCGCCGCGCGGGCGAGCUUUGCCACCGCCGACGGCGUCGCGGUUUCCCGCCGCUUUUCGUGCUCCCGGCGACCGGAGAGAGCUGCGAAGAGCGAUGAGCAGCGAGGACGACGAUGCGUGGCGAAUCGUCCACGUCCCCGGCAGGCCGCCGAUUCCGCCUGAUCAGCAACUCACAGUGAACGUGGUCGCAGCUCAGAUUGAGCAGCCGAAGAUCACGAACACUAUCAUAUGAGGCGUUUGAGUCAAAUUGCGCCAUUGGAGGACCUCCACCACGUGAAGCGGGUGAAGAAGAAGUGUCUCGAAGGAGGUCUGCAAAUAUGCUGCAUCGUCAACGGAAGAGUGGGUAGAACAGUGCAAGCUAUGGCCCACCUCAUACCAUCCACCAACCUACUUCUGAUAUUCUACAGAGCAGCGAUAUCAGUGGCAUAACUGGGUUUAGUGAUGAAGACUCACAAUCAGUUGUAAGUUUUAUGAAGUAUGCUCUGGAAUUGGCGAAAUCUCAUGGUAAUAUGGUGGUCAAUGCUGCAGCAAUUGUAGAUCCUCUAUCUAAUCAAGUGAUUGCAAGGGCAUGUGAUGAAGUCUGCUCUUGGCAAACUCCAAAAACAGAAGUUGGUGCUGAAUGUAAAAGUUCCACCAAAUCUUGUGCUGAAAUGACUGGAUGGAUAAAACAUGAAUCAUGUCUUCAAUGCUGUUCCUCAGGUGGGGCAGAGCAAGUUGAGACAUCCAUUUCUUGUCUACAUCCACGACAGUGGGUAGAUGAACAGACUGGCAGGAGCUCUUCAUUUUGGCACCUGUUGCGACACGCUGUGAUGAUGGCCAUUGAAUCAUCUGCUGCCAGGGACAGACCCUUAUUCCCUGAUGUGAGAUACAAAGAUGAAGCUACCAUAGAGGAGUAUAUUCUAUCUCCUGCAAAAUCUCAAACAAAAAGACGGAGAACUGAUGGCAAUGACGUAAGCUUUUCCUCUACAUGUGAAGGAAAUCCUGGCAAGACUUUCUAUUCUAGCAUGACAAAUCUUGUGCAGUAUGGAGAAUUUGUGUGGACGAUUGCCUUAUUUGAAUGGAUGAACCCCGUUGAAAUAUCAAUGGUUCUGUUGCCAAUUAUUGGAAAAAUUGGGUUCACCUUAAUACAACAAUGAGCAAUGAAGUGUACAAAUAAAACAUUGAGACAAGGAGUGCACUCGGCA